rnacentral:rRNA from 1 species
UCAUGGCUCAGGAUGAAACGCUGAACAGAAAUGCCUUAACACAUGCAAGUUCAACUUUGAACUUUCGGUUUCGGGCGGCGGAACGGGCGAGUAACGCGUAAAGAACUUCGCCUCACAGAUAGGGACAACAUUUGGAAACGAAUGCUAAUACCUGAUAUUAUGAUUAUAUGGCAUCGUAUAAUUAUGAAAGCUAUAUGCGCUGUGAGAGAGCUUUGCGUCCCAUUAGCUAGUUGGAGAGGUAACGGCUCACCAAGGCGAUGAUGGGUAGCCGGCCUGAGAGGGUGAUCGGCCACAAGGGGACUGAGACACGGCCCUUACUCCUACGGGAGGCAGCAGUGGGGAAUAUUGGACAAUGGACCAAGAGUCUGAUCCAGCAAUUCUGUGUGCACGAUGAAGUUUUUCGGAAUGUAAAGUGCUUUCAGUUGGGAAGAAAAAAAUGACGGUACCAACAGAAGAAGUGACGGCUAAAUACGUGCCAGCAGCCGCGGUAAUACGUAUGUCACAAGCGUUAUCCGGAUUUAUUGGGCGUAAAGCGCGUCUAGGUGGUUAUGUAAGUCUGAUGUGAAAAUGCAGGGCUCAACUCUGUAUUGCGUUGGAAACUGUGUAACUAGAGUACUGGAGAGGUAAGCGGAACUACAAGUGUAGAGGUGAAAUUCGUAGAUAUUUGUAGGAAUGCCGAUGGGGAAGCCAGCUUACUGGACAGAUACUGACGCUGAAGGCGCGAAAGCGUGGGUAGCAAACAGGAUUAGAUACCCUGGUAGUCCACGCCGUAAACGAUGAUUACUAGGUGUUGGGGGUCGAACCUCAGCGCCCAAGCAAACGCGAUAAGUAAUCCGCCUGGGGAGUACGUACGCAAGUAUGAAAACUCAAAGGAAUUGACGGGGACCCGCACAAGCGGUGGAGCAUGUGGUUUAAUUCGACGCAACGCGAGGAACCUUACCAGCGUUUGACAUCUUAGGAAUGAGACAGAGAUGUUUCAGUGUCCCUUCGGGGAAAACCUAAAGACAGGUGGUGCAUGGCUGUUCGUCAGCUCGUGUCGUGAGAUGUUGGGUUAAGUCCCGCAACGAGCGCGAACCCCUUUCGUAUGUUACCAUCAUUAAGUUGGGGACUCAUGCGAUACUGCCUGCGAUGAGCGGGAGGAAGGUGGGGAUGACGUCGAAGUCAUCGUGCCCCUUAUACGCUGGGCUACGCGACGUGCUACGAUGGGU